rnacentral:rRNA from 1 species
UAUCGGUAUGGGAUGGGGUCGCGUCCUAUCAGCUUGAUGGCGGGGUAACGGCCCACCAUGGCUUCGACGGGUAGCCGGCCUGAGAGGGCGACCGGCCACAUUGGGACUGAGAUACGGCCCAGACUCCUACGGGAGGCAGCAGUGGGGAAUAUUGCACAAUGGGCGCAAGCCUGAUGCAGCGACGCCGCGUGCGGGAUGACGGCCUUCGGGUUGUAAACCGCUUUUGACUGGGAGCAAGCCCUUCGGGGUGAGUGUACCUUUCGAAUAAGCACCGGCUAACUACGUGCCAGCAGCCGCGGUAAUACGUAGGGUGCAAGCGUUAUCCGGAAUUAUUGGGCGUAAAGGGCUCGUAGGCGGUUCGUCGCGUCCGGUGUGAAAGUCCAUCGCUUAACGGUGGAUCCGCGCCGGGUACGGGCGGG